UCCCUGGUGGUCCAGUGGCUAAGACUCUGAGCUGCCAAUGUGGAGGGUUCAGGUUCGAUCCCUGGUCAGGGAA
rnacentral:tRNA from 1 species